CAGCCGCCGCGGUAAUACGUAGGGUGCAAGCGUUAAUCGGAAUUACUGGGCGUAAAGCGUGCGCAGGCGGCUAUGCAAGACAGAUGUGAAAUCCCCGGGCUCAACCUGGGAACUGCAUUUGUGACUGCAUGGCUAGAGUACGGUAGAGGGGGAUGGAAUUCCGCGUGUAGCAGUGAAAUGCGUAGAUAUGCGGAGGAACACCGAUGGCGAAGGCAAUCCCCUGGACCUGUACUGACGCUCAUGCACGAGAGCGUGGGGAGCGAACGGGAUUAGAUACCCCUGUAGUCCCUGUCUCUUAUAC
rnacentral:rRNA from 1 species